rnacentral:tRNA from 1 species
GGGGGCUUAGCUUAAUUAAAGCAAUUGAUUUGCAUUCAAUAGAUGUAGGGUGAAUUCUUACAGUCCUUA